rnacentral:rRNA from 1 species
UACGUAGGGGGCAAGCGUUGUCCGGAUUUAUUGGGCGUAAAGGGCGCGUAGGCGGCCAUGCGUGUCUUCCGUGAAAUCCCUCGGCUUAACCGAGGACGUGCGGAAGAAACUGCAAGGCUCGAGUCCGGAAGAGGGGGGCGGAAUUCCCAGUGUAGCGGUGAAAUGCGUAGAUAUUGGGAGGAACACCAGUGGCGAAGGCGGUCCCCUGGGCCGGAACUGACGCUGAGGCGCGAAAGCGUGGGUAGCAAACGGG